CCUGACUGACCGAUAGUGAACCAGUACCGUGAGGGAAAGGCGAAAAGAACCCCGGCGAGGGGAGUGAAAAAGAACCUGAAACCGUGUACGUACAAGCAGUGGGAGCACCUUUAUGGUGUGACUGCGUACCUUUUGUAUAAUGGGUCAGCGACUUAUAUUCUGUAGCAAGGUUAACCGUAUAGGGGAGCCGCAGGGAAACCGAGUCUUAACUGGGCGUUAAGUUGC
rnacentral:rRNA from 2 species